CCUACGGGAGGCAGCAGUGGGGAAUAUUGGACAAUGGGGGCAACCCUGAUCCAGCCAUGCCGCGUGUGUGAAGAAGGCCCUCGGGUUGUAAAGCACUUUCAGUGAGGAAGAACGCCUGGUGGUUAAUACCCAACAGGAAAGACAUCACUCACAGAAGAAGCACCGGCUAACUCCGUGCCAGCAGCCGCGGUAAUACGGAGGGUGCGAGCGUUAAUCGGAAUUACUGGGCGUAAAGCGCGCGUAGGUGGCUUGAUAAGCCGGUUGUGAAAGCCCCGGGCUCAACCUGGGAACGGCAUCCGGAACUGUCAAGCUAGAGUGCAGGAGAGGAAGGUAGAAUUCCCGGUGUAGCGGUGAAAUGCGUAGAGAUCGGGAGGAAUACCAGUGGCGAAGGCGGCCUUCUGGACUGACACUGACACUGAGGUGCGAAAGCGUGGGUAGCAAACAGGAUUAGAUACCCGUGUAGUC
rnacentral:rRNA from 1 species